GAUGAAGAACGUAGCGAAAUGCGAUAAGUAAUGUGAAUUGCAGAAUUCAGUGAAUCAUCGAAUCUUUGAACGCACAUUGCGCCCGCUAGUAUUCUGGCGGGCAUGCCUGUCCGAGCGUCAUUUCAACCCUCAAGCCCCCGGGCUUGGUGUUGGGGAUCGGCGAGCCUCCGCGCCCGCCGUCCCCUAAAUCUAGUGGCGGUCUCGCUGUAGCUUCCUCUGCGUAGUAGCACACCUCGCACUGGGAAACAGCGCGGCCACGCCGUUAAACCCCCAACUUCUGAACGUUUGACCUCGGAUCAGGUAGGAAUACCCGCUGAUCUUAAGCAUAUCAAUAAGCGGAGGA
rnacentral:misc_RNA from 1 species